rnacentral:SRP_RNA from 1 species
GGCGGGUGUGGUGGUGCACACCUGUGGUCCCAGCUACUUGGGAGGCUGAGGUAGGAGGAUCACUUGAUCCCAGGAGUUCAAGGCUGCAGUGGGCCAUGAUCAUGCUACUCCACUCCAGCCUGGGUGACAGAGUGAGACCCUAUCUCUA